rnacentral:rRNA from 1 species
AGAGUUUGAUCCUGGCUCAGGAUGAACGCUACCGGCAGGCCUAAUACAUGCAAGACGAGCGGUAAUUUUUGUAGCAAUACAGAGACUAGAGCGUCGUAAGGGUGCGUAACACGUAUGCAAUCUGCCCGGAACAGGAGGAUAGCUCGGGGAAACUCGAAUUAACACUCCAUAAGACAGUGGGUAGGCAUCUACCAGCUGUUAAAUCUACGGAGGUUUCGGAUGAGCAUGCGGAUGAUUAGCUAGUUGGCGGUGUAACGGACCACCAAGGCAAUGAUCAAUAGGGGAACUGAGAGGUUGAUCCCCCACACUGGCACUGAGAUACGGGCCAGACUCCUACGGGAGGCAGCAGUAGGGAAUAUUGGACAAUGGGUGCAAGCCUGAUCCAGCCAUGCCGCGUGCAGGAAGAAGGCUUUCUGAGUUGUAAACUGCUUUUGCCAGGGGAUAAAAUACGCUUGCGAGCGGAAUUGAAGGUACCUGGUGAAUAAGCCACGGCUAACUACGUGCCAGCAGCCGCGGUAAUACGUAGGUGGCAAGCGUUGUCCGGAUUUAUUGGGUUUAAAGGGUGCGUAGGCGGUCUUCUAAGUCAGUUGUGAAAUACUUCAGCUUAACUGGAGAGGUGCAAUUGAUACUGGAAGACUUGAGUACUGAUGAGGUAGGCGGAAUGGACGGUGUAGCGGUGAAAUGCUUAGAUAUCGUCCAGAACACCGAUAGCGAAGGCAGCUUACUAAGGAGUAACUGACGCUGAGGCACGAAAGUGUGGGGAUCAAACAGGAUUAGAUACCCUGGUAGUCCACGCCCUAAACGAUGGAUACUAGGCGUAGGAGGUAUCGACCCCUCCUGUGCCGCAGCAAACGCAUUAAGUAUCCCGCCUGGGGAGUACGGCCGCAAGGUUGAAACUCAAAUGAAUUGACGGGGACCCGCACAAGCGGUGGAGCAUGUGGAUUAAUUCGAUACUAACCGAAGAACCUUACCCACUCUUGACAUUGAAGGAAAGCUCUAGAGAUAGAGCCCUCUCUCACAAGGAGACCUGAAAACAGAUGUUGCAUGGCUGUCGUCAGCUCGUGCCGUGAGGUGUACGGUUAAGUCCGCCAACGAGCGCAACCCUCGUUCUGUGUUACCAGCGAGUAAUGUCGGGCACUCACAGGAGACCGCCGGUGUAAGCCGGAGGAAGGUGGGGAUGAUGUCAAGUCAGCAUGGCUCUUACGAGUGGGGCUUCACACAUGCUACAAUGGGCGCAACAAAGGGCAGCGAUACCGCGAGGUGGAGCAAAUCCCAAAAAUACGUCCUCAGUUCAGAUUGCAGUCUGCAACUCGACUGCAUGAAGGCGGAAUCGCUAGUAAACGCAGGUCAGCUAUACUGCGUUGAAUACGUUCCCGGGUCUUGUACACACCGCCCGUCAAGUCACUUGAAUUGUCUUCACCCGAAGUCCGUGGCCUAACCCGCAAGGGAAGGAGCGGCCGAAGGUGAGGGGGGUAAGAGGGACUAAGUCGUAACAAGGUA